rnacentral:rRNA from 1 species
GAGUUUGAUUCUGGCUCAGGAUGAGCGCUGGCGGUAUGCCUAACACAUGCAAGUCGAACGAAAUCUUCGGAUUUAGUGGCGGACGGGUGAGUAACGCGUGAGAAUCUGCCUUCAGGAUGGGGACAACAGUUAGAAAUGACUGCUAAUACCCAAUGUGCCGCAAGGUGAAAGUUUUUCGCCUGAAGAGGAGCUCGCGUCCGAUUAGCUAGUUGGGGUGGUAAAAGCGCACCAAGGCAACGAUCGGUAGCUGGUCUGAGAGGAUGAGCAGCCACACUGGGACUGAGACACGGCCCAGACUCCUACGGGAGGCAGCAGUGGGGAAUUUUCCGCAAUGGGCGCAAGCCUGACGGAGCAAUACCGCGUGAGGGAGGAAGGCUUUUGGGUUGUAAACCUCUUUUCUCAAGGAAGAAGCACUGACGGUACUUGAGGAAUCAGCAUCGGCUAACUCCGUGCCAGCAGCCGCGGUAAUACGGAGGAUGCAAGCGUUAUCCGGAAUUAUUGGGCGUAAAGCGUCCGCAGGUGGUACAUCAAGUCUGCUGUCAAAGACUAGGGCUUAACCCUGGAGCGGCAGUGGAAACUGAUGAACUAGAGUACGGUAGGGGUAGAGGGAAUUCCCAGUGUAGCGGUGAAAUGCGUAGAGAUUGGGAAGAACACCAGUGGCGAAGGCGCUCUACUGGACCUGUACUGACACUCAGGGACGAAAGCUAGGGGAGCGAAAGGGAUUAGAUACCCCUGUAGUCCUAGCUGUAAACGAUGGAUACUAGGCGUUGCUUGUAUCGACCCGAGCAGUGCCGUAGCUAACGCGUUAAGUAUCCCGCCUGGGGAGUACGCACGCAAGUGUGAAACUCAAAGGAAUUGACGGGGGCCCGCACAAGCGGUGGAGUAUGUGGUUUAAUUCGAUGCAACGCGAAGAACCUUACCAGGACUUGACAUCCGCGAAUCUCUGGGAAACUA